UGGGGAAUAUUGCACAAUGGGCGCAAGCCUGAUGCAGCCAUGCCGCGUGUAUGAAGAAGGCCUUCGGGUUGUAAAGUACUUUCAGCGGGGAGGAAGGCGAUAAGGUUAAUAACCUUGUCGAUUGACGUUACCCGCAGAAGAAGCACCGGCUAACUCCGUGCCAGCAGCCGCGGUAAUACGGAGGGUGCAAGCGUUAAUCGGAAUUACUGGGCGUAAAGCGCACGCAGGCGGUCUGUCAAGUCGGAUGUGAAAUCCCCGGGCUCAACCUGGGAACUGCAUUCGAAACUGGCAGGCUAGAGUCUUGGAGAGGGGGGUAGAAUUCCAGGUGUAGCGGUGAAAUGCGUAGAGAUCUGGAGGAAUACCGGUGGCGAAGGCGGCCCCCUGGACAAAGACUGACGCUCAGGUGCGAAAGCGUGGGGAGCAAACC
rnacentral:rRNA from 1 species